rnacentral:rRNA from 1 species
AGCAGUCGCCGCGGUAAUACAGAGGGUGCGAGCGUUAAUCGGAUUUACUGGGCGUAAAGCGUGCGUAGGCGGCUUCUUAAGUCGGAUGUGAAAUCCCUGAGCUUAACUUAGGAAUUGCAUUCGAUACUGGGAAGCUAGAGUAUGGGAGAGGAUGGUAGAAUUCCAGGUGUAGCGGUGAAAUGCGUAGAGAUCUGGAGGAAUACCGAUGGCGAAGGCAGCCAUCUGGCCUAAUACUGACGCUGAGGUACGAAAGCAUGGGGAGCAAACAGGAUUAGAGACCCCGUAGUCCCUGUCUCUUAUACA